rnacentral:tRNA from 1 species
GCGCUCGUGGCGAAAUCGGCAGACGCGCCGGAUUUAGGAUCCGGUGGGCGACCAUGGGGGUUCAAAUCCCUCCGAGCGCACCA